rnacentral:lncRNA from 10 species
AACCGGCUCGGGUCCCAGUCCACACUGUGGAAGGUUUGUUCUUUCACUCUUUGCAAUAAAUCUUGCUGCUGCUCACUCUUUGGGUCCACACUGUUUUUAUGAGCUGUAACACUCACCGCGAAAGUCUGCAGCUUCACUCCUGAGCCAGCGAGACCACGAGCCCACCAGGAGGAACGAACAACUCCAGACCCGCUGCCUUAAGAGCUGUUAACAGUCACCGCGAAGGUCUGCAGCUUCACUCCUGAGCCAGCGAGACCACGAGCCCACCUGGAGGAACGAACAACUCCAGACCCGCUGCCUUAAGAGCUGUAGCAGUCACCACGAAAGUCUGCAGCUUCACUCCUGAGCCAGCGAGACCGCGAACCCACCAGAAGGAAGAAAUUCCGAACAUAUCCGAACAUCAGAAGGAACAAACUCCAGACGCGCCACCUUAAGAGCUGUAACACUCACCGCGAGGGUCCGCGGCUUCAUUCUUGAUGUCAGCAAGACCAAGAACCCACCAAUUCUGGACACAAAACCUCAAGUAGUCCCUCCACCGAAAGCACAUUAUAAGGAUCAUUUUGCCUCAAAGCCCUCCUACAGGCAAGAGGAGCUUACUGUGACUUCCAAGAAGAAAAUGAUGUUGUGGCAUGAAGCACUUCUCUGAUCAUAUCACUGCUGUACUAAAGGUACGUUCUACAUGUACUUUUUGGGAAGGGUAUGGAAUGUAUUCGGUGUUGAGGAGUUUGGAC